rnacentral:rRNA from 1 species
GAUGAACGCUGGCGGCGUGCCUAAUACAUGCAAGUCGAGCGAACAGACGAGGAGCUUGCUCCUCUGACGUUAGCGGCGGACGGGUGAGUAACACGUGGAUAACCUACCUAUAAGACUGGGAUAACUUCGGGAAACCGGAACUAAUACCGGAUAAUAUAUUGAACCGCAUGGUUCAAUAGUGAAAGACGGUUUUGCCGUCACUUAUAGAUGGAUCCGCGCCGCAUUAGCUAGUUGGUAAGGUAACGGCUUACCAAGGCAACGAUGCGUAGCCGACCUGAGAGGGUGAUCGGCCACACUGGAACUGAGACACGGUCCAGACUCCUACGGGAGGCAGCAGUAGGGAAUCUUCCGCAAUGGGCGAAAGCCUGACGGAGCAACGCCGCGUGAGUGAUGAAGGUCUUCGGAUCGUAAAACUCUGUUAUUAGGGAAGAACAAAUGUGUAAGUAACUAUGCACGUCUUGACGGUACCUAAUCAGAAAGCCACGGCUAACUACGUG